GGACUCCCGCCGUUCUCUUGGGACAAAUUCGGCAGCAUCAGCCACCAGGGUCUGCCACAGUAUUACAACUUCACCUUUACCAAGAUGCAGCCCAUUCUUUUCAAACCAUGAGCAUCAGUGUGUGACUGUGUGCGCGCGACAGAGAUUCUUUCAGGGUAAUGGAGGUCCACGCCCAUCUGUACAACCCAGGUGUCCUGUGUGCAGCCAUUGGUGCCUUUGAUUCUCACAGUAGCUUUAUGAUAUAAUGAAAUACCAAAUCACAAAAUCAGCAGAUGUGCCACCUUAAAGUAAAAUCUUUAUUUUUGAUGCUUGAAUGUCUUCAUAUAUACGAACACUAUUGCUGCAGGAGUAGAGGAAACAAUCAGUGCAAUGCCUCAGGACUCAGGAGCUGAUCAUCUCUUAUGAUCUGAUUUUUGUUUGCUGCCUUUUUUUAUUGUGCUGUGCAAAAUUAAAAACCUCUUUUUGUA